rnacentral:rRNA from 1 species
UGGGGAAUAUUGGACAAUGGGGGCAACCCUGAUCCAGCAAUGCCGCGUGUGUGAAGAAGGCCUGAGGGUUGUAAAGCACUUUCAGUGGGGAGGAGGAUUGUUUGUUUAAGAGAUGAAUGAUUGGACGUUACCCACAGAAGAAGCACCGGCUAACUCCGUGCCAGCAGCCGCGGUAAUACGGAGGGUGCAAGCGUUAAUCGGAAUUACUGGGCGUAAAGAGUGCGUAGGUGGUUGAGUAAGUUAUCUGUGAAAUCCCUGGGCUUAACCUGGGCAGGUCAGAUAAUACUGCUUGACUCGAGUAUGGGAGAGGGUAGUGGAAUUUCCGGUGUAGCGGUGAAAUGCGUAGAGAUCGGAAGGAACACCAGUGGCGAAGGCGGCUACCUGGCCUAAUACUGACACUGAGGCACGAAAGCGUGGGGAGCAAACA